AACCACUCCACUAGAAGUGAAGGCGAAAGGCAAUGGCAGCUCCGGAAUUCUAUUCAGGCAGCGCUGCGGACGCAUAAAAUGACGCAAUCCCCGCGCUAGACUGGGCGGGGCGUGCGAGGACCCUAUCCCCAAGAGGUUCCCCGGAGGAGCGGAAGCCGUCAACAGAGAAGCGGCGGUCGGCGGCGCAGUAGCUUCCGGUGUGUAUUUCUGCCUGGUUCUCCACGACGGUACCUUAGCAACGGCGGAGCGGGGGACGGGGACCAGGGAGCAGAGUGGUUAUAGCCGAGACGGAGGGGCGAGGAGGGGACCAGGUGUGACUGCAGAGACCGGAGACAGUUCCUCUUAACACCUGCCAGAAGCCGCCCUGCAGUGCAGGACCACAGCGUGUGGUGGAUGACAGUUAACAGUAACAAACAGCAGGGUAGCAGCU